rnacentral:lncRNA from 1 species
GCCAAACAAUGGAAAUCAAUCUCAAUGAGUGAGAUGAAAUGUGUAUUGUGUCGUGAUUCUCUCCUCUCAUUUCAAAUCAUAAUCCUUCAUGAUUUUGAAUUUGUAGAAACACAGGAAAGCUGUUAAUAUGCUAAUGUUAUCAAAACCAAUAUGUAUGGUGUUGGAUCUGGAGGAGCAGAUGCCUUGCUCUGUCCUUCGUUCACUUGGACCACUUC